rnacentral:rRNA from 1 species
AAUUCGACGCAACGCGCUAGAACCUUACCUGGUCUUGACAUCUCGGGAAUCAUUUGGAAACAUAUGAGUGCCUCGCAAGAGGGAGCCCGAUGACAGGUGCUGCAUGGCUGUCGUCAGCUCGUGUCGUGAGAUGUUGGGUUAAGUCCCGCAACGAGCGCAACCCUUGUCUUUAGUUGCCAUCAUUAAGUUGGGCACUCUAAAGAGACUGCCGGUGUCAAACCGGAGGAAGGUGGGGAUGACGUCAAGUCCUCAUGGCCUUUAUGACCAGGGCUACACACGUACUACAAUGGCAGGUACAAAGGGCAGCCACUUAGCGAUAAGGCGCGAAUCCCAUAAAACCUGUCUCAGUCCGGAUUGGAGUCUGCAACUCGACUCCAUGAAGUUGGAAUCGCUAGUAAUCGCGAAUCAGCAUGUCGCGGUGAAUGCGUUCCCGGGCCUU